AUUGAACGCUGGCUGCAGGCCUAACACAUGCAAGUCGAACGAGUGGCGGACGGGUGAGUAUUGUCUGGGACACUCCCUGAUGUAAGUGGAUGAUUACUGGAAACGGUAUCUAAUACCGCAUACAAUCAUUAGUGCCCAGAUGGGAUUAGCUUGUUGGUGGGGUAACGGAUCACCCAGGCGACGAUCCCUAGAUGGUCUGCUAGGAGGACAAGGUCCACUGGAACGGAAACAAGGUACAGCCUCCUAUGCGAGGCAGGAGUGGGGAAUAUUGCACAAGGGGAGCGAGCCUGGUGCAGCCAUGCCGCGUGGAGGAAGAAGGCACUCGGGUUGUAAAGUACUUUCAGCGGGAAGGCGGUACCCGCAGAAGAAGCACCGGCUAACUCCGUGCCAGCAGCCGCGGUAAUAC
rnacentral:rRNA from 1 species